rnacentral:tRNA from 1 species
GCCGCGGUGGUCUAGUGGUUAUGGCGCUCGGCUGCUGACCGCGAAGGUUGCGGGAUCGAAUCCCGGCUGCGGCG